rnacentral:rRNA from 1 species
UACGUAGGGCGCAAGCGUUGUCCGGAAUCAUUGGGCGUAAAGCGCGUGUAGGCGGUCCGGUAAGUCCGCUGUGAAAGUCGGGGGCUCAACCCUCGGAUGCCGGUGGAUACUGUCGGGCUUGAGUCCGGGAAGAGGCGAGUGGAAUUCCUGGUGUAGCGGUGAAAUGCGCAGAUAUCAGGAGGAACACCAUGGCGAAGGCAGCUCGCUGGGACGGUACUGACGCUGGAGACGCGAAAGCGUGGGGAGCAAACAGG